rnacentral:ncRNA from 1 species
UCUAGAGAAAGGCAAACUCAUUGAAAAAUGAGGACGCAAAGUCACAGGUCUAACGCAAGAUGCUAGGACGGCUGGAUUACCUGG